CCAAAAUGCCCAGGACGUGGCGACCAAUUGUUUCUUCAACAGCUGCUGUUGUCUUUACCACUUCUAAGAGGAUCUUCAGAAGUCUGUUAUUAGCUUUCUGGAGUGCAUACCUGUACAGCUUAAUUCAACAAAGGUACAGUGGUGGCAAACUACGCAUUUCCUGCACGUAGAGAAAAUACAAGACUCUCAUGGGGAAGGCGCUCUGCCUCAAGACACUUUCUCUUCAGCUCCACAGUGCGGGAGAUCACCAACAAACAGCUGCUCCUGGUCUUCUCGCUGUCUCUCCAUCUGCCGCAUGUGUGCCUGCCUUAAAAGCUCUGUUGCCUGUUGAUGUUCCUGGUACUGUCGUACAAGUUCCUGCCUCAUAUCUUCCAACUGUUCUUCAUUUAACAUC